CCUCGUUCCUGAGUCUUGAUCACCCUCCACCCCUGUCACCACGUACGGGAGAUUUUUAAGACCCACUGUGUGUCCAUUUAAUUGACUUCGUGGAUUGCCAGGAACAAUUGAGAGUUCUGACUUCAUUGUGUGAUCUCUAUAAAGGCCGCUUUCAGUACCGAGCUCCUGUUCUGAGUGCUCAGUCACCAGCUUGUGCUGUUUCCUGGAGCUGGACCCUUUAGGAGAUGUGACCUGAGCGGGAGAAGCAGGUUACUACUGGUCAGGCUUUGAAGGGUAGAGCCUGGCUUUGGUUCUGGCCAUGGUUACUGCUUUCUGGUCCUCCACCUUGUAAAGCAUGUCCAUGGCAUGUAUCCACCACACGAUGCCACCCACACCAUGAUGAGCUGAGAGCCUCUGAACCCAAGGACCAGACAAAACCUCUCCCUCCCUAGGUAGCAUGUGUGAGGCAUGUUGGUCACUGCGGUACAGAAGUGGCUAAGACGGAUUCUGAUGUAGCUGUGGCCAUGGCGACGGAGUGGUACUCAGCAUCAUUAGGCAUAGCUUUUGGUUCGAGUGAAGAAUUGUUCUUUGGAGUCCUUUUCAGGCCAAGGGAAAGGGAUAUGACAAAGCACCGGCUGACAUGCCCACUCUCUCAGAAAGAGGGAUGUUCUGGAAGCAAAGCACGACCCAAGCUUCUCUCGAGAUGUGUGCUCAGCUAAACCAAGACAUCAUCCUUCAAACCUGCAGCCUCAGAGCUUCAGAGCGAGGCCUUGACUGGCCCCACCGAUGGGAUAAAGAAAUAAUUGCUGGUUAUUUCAGCUGCCCUCUACGUGUGAUCAAUAUAUCAGUGAGGGCUGUUCCCCAAACUUUGUACAGGAGUCUGGAAAUGUGGACCGUACCUCCAAAGUGCAGUUAAUAGAUGGCAGAAUGUGAGCCUGUGUGUGGAUAGGUUUCUAUGCCUAUGGGAAUCUUGUGAGAUAAAUCUGUUUUCUCUUUUUAUUAUGAGAUGUUUGUCACCGGAUGCACUUGCAUUUUCAUACAGAGUAACCCCCAAAUCACACUGCACGAAGUGUCACAAAUCACACAUAAGAUUCGUAGCCAUGUGUGACAAAGAGGCUGCGGUUCAGCGCUGAAGUUUUGAGAAAGGUAAGUUCUGCAGAAAGAGGGCAUUCAUCUUAUCUCCUCAGGUCUUAUAUUCCCCGCUCAAGCCUUCGUUCCUAUUAUAUUCAUCUUCAAAGUGGCACAUGUAGGUAACAUUUUUCAAUAGUCAAUUAUCUCUGGCCAUCCUCUGGCCCUUUCCUUGCUCCUUCAGAAAAUACAUUCACUAGCUGAUGCUGUGUUUCAUCCAAAUUAUUCGUCUCUGUAGUGCAGGACUUAAAGCAUGCGCCUGAUUUUUAUUGACUCGUCUUAUUCCUUGUCAUUGUCUGUUCCCUCACCAUGAUGCAGGCCUGAUCGACUAUUCUAGUACAGAGUUUCUAGCAUUCUUUUUUCUAUACGUUACUAGCAGACUAUUAACUAUUUUGAGUCUUCAAAAUGUUCCAUGGAGCACACUGACGGGGAAUGUCUGAAAACACAAGCACAGCCCAUCUAACGUGAACUCCAGGACCUCGCACAUUGUGAAUGGAUGAGGCAACAGGAUUGCUGAAAUUGGGUCCCAAAGGGUCCUGAGGUGAGACAGUCCUGGUCUAAAGAGGAAAUAUGAGGAAAAAUAUGUGGGAAAAGCAGGUUACUGCUGCAUGGAAUGGAGGGGUCUGAUUGUGAGAGUCAGCUGGAAAACGCCAGGCCAACCCUCACAUCCUUUUGCUGGAACUGGAAAGCAGCCCCUCAGGCAUCCAGGCAUCUGUGAGGUCCUCUCUGAAGAGUGCUGUGCUCACUAGGUCUCACAGGCUGCUCAGCCUGUCCUGGCAAGGGAGGCGCCAGACUCAAGGCUGUCUGCAGCUCUGCAGGGUCCUUUCUCAGACUCUUAGAAUCCAAGCUGAGUGCUUACUGUGUGAUUACCAUGGAAGCCAUCACAGAGAUCGAAGGAAACCUGAGAAGACAGAGGGAAAGAACGAGCAGGCAGCGCGUGGCCAGACCACCGGCUUUCCUACUCUGCACCCAACAACGUCAUGUUAAAAGAAAAGCGUACUGCUGGAGGAGAUUCAAGAUCUAUUCUUAACCCGUCCCCAUCAUUCUAAAUCUUUCCUAGAAUUGCAGACCAACACAUUCUAAUUACAGGAAACGCUAAGUCAAAUUUCUGUAGAGAAAUAGAAAAUAUUAAGCUGUAUUGUGAAGCUAAGGUAUUAAAUCAGGGCCCGCACAGCAGAUCAAUGAGACAGAUAUCACAUGGGUUUGCAAAUGCAUAAAGUGGUAGAACAUGAACAGGGGGGAUUGAUCAUGCAAUAAUUGGCUAGUCCUCAGGGAAGAAUCAAGAUUUUUUUUCUUAUAUUAUUUGCUAUACCAAAUACAUUUGAAGUGGAUGAAAAUAGGCUCUGUGAUAACUGCGUAUCUUUUUAAUGUUUAAACU
rnacentral:sRNA from 1 species